UACAGAGGGUGCGAGCGUUAAUCGGAAUUACUGGGCGUAAAGCGUGCGUAGACGGUUUCGUAAGUCGGGUGUGAAAUCCCCGGGCUCAACCUGGGAAUUGCAUUCGAGACUGCAUUGCUGGAGUACGGAAGAGGAGGGCGGAAUUCCCGGUGUAGCGGUGAAAUGCGUAGAUAUCGGGAGGAACAUCAGUGGCGAAGGCGGCCCUCUGGUCCAGUACUGACACUCAAGUGCGAAAGCGUGGGGAGCAAACAGG
rnacentral:rRNA from 1 species